rnacentral:snRNA from 1 species
AUGCUUGCUUCGGCAGCACAUAUACUAAAAUUGGAACAAUACAGAGAAGACGAGCGGGGCCCCUGCGCAAGGAUGACUCGCAAGUUUGGGAAGCAUUCCAUCUUGGG